UCCCAUCCGCCUUUCCCCUGCCUUUCUUCUCACACUGGAAAUUUGGGAGGUGACGGAAAUAGCCCCGUCCAGUUCAAGCUCUGCCUUGGCCCCCAGCCCCGGGCGGGGUCCCUGUGCACCCCCUUUCGCCACCAGCGUGUCGGGGAUGCGGAGGUGCUGGGCCUGACGGACACGAGGACCACGACCCGCUCUCCUCCCGUGGGUGACCCCACGCUCCCUGUCGGCCCCGGGACCCCCCCGACGUGUGCUCCUGGGCCUUGCUUUCGUGCCGAGCAGCGCAGCCCUCGACCCCGCGGCGCCGUGCACGCGGCCAGCCCGAGGGGGGGGGGGAAGGCAGCGGGACCCCCCCGGGGCCCGGCCGGCUUCGAGGGGCUCCGCCGCGGCCCCCACCCGUGGGGGGCUCCCGGCCUGGCGAGGCCCGGUGAGGCCAAGCCGGGCCCAGCCUCCCCGACGGGGGGCGGGCGAGCAGGGAAGAGCAAAGUGUUUGUGGCCUUGCGUGGGGGGUUCUCGGGAGCUGGAACGGUUUGUGGACCCAAAGCAGGCGUAAAUACAGAAAAAAAAAAAGGGCAUUCCCCCGACGUUGCGGCCCCGGGUGGGUGCAUUUUGCUGCUGCCUCACGCGAGUGCGGGGAAGCCGAGCCCAGGCGCAGACCCUGCCGCCGCGCCCGGAGCGGUUUCCGCAGCCACGGGAGGAGAAAUCCGCUCUGAGCAGCAAAGCGCUUUCAUUUAUCCCCCCCUUUCUUCCCUCCCCUCCCUCUUGCUCGCGGCGGGGUCGGGCAGAUCGCGCUGUCUGACGGGGCGGCUGGGGGCAGCCUUUGGGGAACAGCGGGCGGCGGGGACAAACCCCACCAAGAUUUCGGCGUCGCUUUUUCCCCGGCGCCUCGUGCCUCCAGAGAGCGAUGGCUGCCUGGAGGGAAGCGCAGGAACGCGGUGCGACAUGCGACAAACUCGGGCUAUCUGCCCGAGAAGCAAGAGCGCUGCCCCCCGUCGGAGCAGGCACGAAGCCGGGGCCUCGCUCGGAGCCCGUCCUCCCCGGCCCUUCGCCCACCGCCCGCUCCCCCCGGGACACCGGCGGCCUCCCCGCCCCUGCAGGGUCCCCACACCACCGAAAUGGCCGGGGCUAUCUGGCCCGGGUUUGGGAUUUAUACAGCGGGGUUGGUUCAUUUCGUUCCCCUUCGCCUCCCCGCUCUCCGCUGCCCAGCAAGGCACGCUUCAAUUCCUGCGAAGCGCCAGCUCUAGAGAGAGGCAGAAGCAAGCGGAGUUAUUGUUCUGGUUUUAUUUUAAUCGCGUAAUUGGUUAA
rnacentral:lncRNA from 1 species